rnacentral:misc_RNA from 1 species
GAUGAAGAACGCAGCGAAAUGCGAUAAGUAAUGUGAAUUGCAGAAUUCAGUGAAUCAUCGAAUCUUUGAACGCACAUUGCGCCCGCCAGUAUUCUGGCGGGCAUGCCUGUUCGAGCGUCAUUUCAACCAUCAAGCCCCCGGCUUGUGUUGGGGACCUGCGGCUGCCGCAGGCCCUGAGAAGCAGUGGCGGGCUCGCUGUCACACCGAGCGUAGUAGCAUACAUCUCGCUCUGGGCGUGCUGCGGGUUCCGGCCGUUAAACCACCUUCAUAACCCAAGGUUGACCUCGGAUCAGGUAGGAAGACCCGCUGAACUUAAGCAUAUCAAUAAGCGGAGGA